rnacentral:rRNA from 1 species
CAGCAGCCGCGGUAAUACGGAGGGUGCAGGCGUUAAUCGGAAUUACUGGGCGUAAAGCGCACGCAGGCGGUCUGUUAAGUCAGAUGUGAAAUCCCCGGGCUUAACCUGGGAACUGCAUUUGAAACUGGCAGGCUUGAGUCUUGUAGAGGGGGGUAGAAUUCCAGGUGUAGCGGUGAAAUGCGUAAGGAUCUGGAGGAAUACCGGUGGCGAAGGCGGCCCCCUGGACAAAGACUGACGCUCAGGUGCGAAAGCGUGGGGAGCAAACAGGAUUAGAUACCCGAGUAGUCCCUGUCUCUUAUAA